CGUAACAAGGUUUCCGUAGGUGAACCUGCGGAAGGAUCAUUACCGAGUGAGGGCCCUCUGGGUCCAACCUCCCACCCGUGUUUAUUUUACCUUGUUGCUUCGGCGGGCCCGCCUUAACUGGCCGCCGGGGGGCUCACGCCCCCGGGCCCGCGCCCGCCGAAGACACCCUCGAACUCUGUCUGAAGAUUGAAGUCUGAGUGAAAAUAUAAAUUAUUUAAAACUUUCAACAACGGAUCUCUUGGUUCCGGCAUCGAUGAAGAACGCAGCGAAAUGCGAUACGUAAUGUGAAUUGCAAAUUCAGUGAAUCAUCGAGUCUUUGAACGCACAUUGCGCCCCCUGGUAUUCCGGGGGGCAUGCCUGUCCGAGCGUCAUUGCUGCCCUCAAGCCCGGCUUGUGUGUUGGGCCCCGUCCUCCGAUUUCCGGGGGACGGGCCCGAAAGGCAGCGGCGGCACCGCGUCCGGUCCUCGAGCGUAUGGGGCUUUGUCACCCGCUCUGUAGGCCCGGCCGGCGCUUGCCGAUCAACCCAAAUUUUUAUCCAGGU
rnacentral:rRNA from 1 species